UACGGGGGGGGGCAAGCGUUAUUCGUCUUUAUUGGGCGUAAAGGGUUAGUAGGCAGUUUGCUUUAUUUAACAUGACAUUUCACAAUUUAUUUGUAUUUUUUGUUUUUAUUUAAGCAUUCUUGAGUUUGGCUGAAGAUGUCGGUACUUUUUGAUGGAGGGGUGAAAUCCGUUGAAAUCAAUCGGGGACACCGUGCGCGGAGGCUGAUAUCUAAGUUUUAAACUGACGCUAAGGGUACGAAAGCGUGGGUAGCAAACGGG
rnacentral:rRNA from 1 species